rnacentral:rRNA from 1 species
CCCUUAGAUGUUCUGGGCCGCACGCGUGCUACACUGAACGGUUCAAUGGGUAAGGUAGUGCGAAAACAUGACCUAAUCUCGAAAUCCGUUCGUGCUGGGGAUAGAAGCUUGCAAUUAUCCUUCUUGAACGAGGAAUACCUUGUAAGCGUGAGUCAUCAUCUCACGCUGAAUACGUCCCUGCCCUUUGUACACACCGCCCGUCGCUCCUACCGAUUGAGUGUUCCGGUGAGGCUUUGGGAGAAUGGCCUCAACAUGAGUUUAUCGUGUUUUGCCGUUUGAACUUAGUCAAACCUUAUCACUUAGAGGAAGGAGAAGUCGUAACA